CCAUAUUUAAGAUAAUAUCAAGUCGGCAUUCCAGGUAAUGUCUGUCAGUGCAGGUUGGAUCUGAAAGAAUAAAAACAAAAUGGACGUUACACAAACUGACCAAGGCUUGCAAUAUUUAUACUUAGAUUCUGAACACUGCAAUACAAUUAAUGAGAAAGCUGUAACAUACUAAGUAAAACUAUCAGUCACAGAGAAAUGUUAUAUUAGAGCAGGGUUAGGCAGCCUUUUAGCAGUACUGUGCUAAAACAAUAUCUCGAAGUCUCUUGAUGUGCCAACCCAAAUUUUGUAUCUGUGUAUGUUGCCGUAUUCUGCUUAUUUAUGGGCGGCUUUGUAACAUUGUAUUUGUGCGCAUGCAGACUAUUCUAUUGUAUAUGUUCAUUAGUAAUUUGUGGCAUUUUCUAUGAUACCUAUGAAUGUAGGCUGUGUAUGGGGGCUGCUUGUGGAAUUGCGUGUGUGGAUGAUAUGUCACAGUGUGUUUGGUGGUGUUUGUAUGUGUGGGGUUGCUUGUGGUAUUGCAUGUGGUAUUGUGGUAUUGCAAACUGUGUGUGUUUGUUUGUGGGUGGUCAGUAUAAUUGGUGUAUGAUAGGGAGGCUUAUUCUCGAAUUUUUUGUAUAUUUAUCUAGUGUGUGGCUUCCUUGGGUUUCAGUGGGGACCAGGUUGGCUAGGUACAGGUCAAAGGCAGGAUAUGCGAUAGUUGGUGGGGGCUGCUCUACUCCAGUACGGAUUCAUGUUCACAAGUGCUCGAAUGGUAAAUUGAGAAUUAUCCCUCACCACCUUUUGGCAUUAGGUGGUGAUUACUGAAUUUCCACCAGGACUCUUGAUAGGCCAGAGCCUGUUUGGGUCUAGCAGCCUUGAGUGCUGUACAAAGGCUCCUUGAGUGCUAUGCUUGGCAGAUGUGCCGUAGGUUGCUGACCCCUGUAAUAGAGGGGUUGUCCAUAUUCUUCACUAAUGGAUUAGACGCAAAACAAGGAGGGUGGAAAACUAGAUAUUAAAAAAAACACAAACUUAAAAAAAAAAAAAGUUAGUUUUAUCGAUAGCUCUAAGCACAAGAUUUAGGACAGGAUAAUAACAGAACAACAACUAUAAAAAAGUAAUGAUCAACUAAAAGAUAACAGGUUCAUUCAGUCAAUAUUGUGUAUGGGAGGAGUUCUAAGCACAAGAGAUAAUGGUUGGAAAAAAAAUACAUCUGUUUUAGUCCAGUAAUUGAAGAGGGACUAUCAUUUCUGAAUUACUACUAAAUGUUUUUGUAAAUAUAUUGUGUAUUGUGUUACAUAUGAUGAAUACUGUAUAAUGUAUGCCUCAGAUUAUGGCUAAAUAUGGCAAUUAGCAGAGCUUUAGUCAGCAGCCAUUUGCAAUUCUUCGCCAUUUCUUAUUGCCCAUAACUCGUAACGCUGAAUGUGAGCAGACAUCUAAUGCAAUACACAACAGACUCCCAAUGGCAUUAACUGACAGCACGCGUGAUAAGAUCUGCGCAAGAUGCCACGAAAGUCUAUACUUGUGUAGAAAUAUAUUGCGACUCUUUAUAAAACUAUUCUGACAGCAGUUGAGAAGCUGAAAAUUGUGGCGUUGUAAAGAGAGCUUCAGAUUAUAUCUCUCUUCCCCUUAAACUACAAAAAAUACACAAGCUUUUUUUUAAAAUUACUUUAACCGCAAUGUAAAUAUAGCAUGCAACAAAAUAUAUAUACAUUGAACCAGGAAAGCUACAUUUAGCAUUAUAUAUUAAAGCGACACUAUAGUCACCAAAACAACUUUAGCUUAAUGAAGCCGUUUUGGUGUAUAGACCAUCUCCCUCGGUCUCACUCAAUUCUCUGCCAUUUAGGAGUUAAAUCACUUUGUUUAUGAACCCUAGUCACACCUCCCUGCAUGUGACUUGCACAGCCUUCCUAAACACUUCCUGUAAAGAGAUGAGUCUAAACACUUCCUGCAAAGAGUCAUCUAAAGUUUAUCCCUCCUUUAUUGCAAGUUCUGUGUAAUUUAGAUGGUCUUAUCCCCCGCUAUGUUAAUAGCUUGCUAGACCCUGCAAGAGCCUCCUGUAUGUGAUUAAAGUUUAAUUUACAGCGAAAGAGAUACAAUUGUUUAAGGUAAAUUACAUCUGAUUGAAAGUGAAACCAGUUUUUUGUUCAUGCAAGCUGUGUCAAUCAGAGUCAGGGGAGGUGUGGCUAGGGCUGCAUAAACAGAAACAAGGUGAUUUAACUCCUAAAUGGCAGUGAAUUGAGCAGUGAAACCUGAGGGGCAUGAUCUAUACACUAAAACUGCUUCAUUAAGCUAAAGUUGUUUAAGUGACUAUAGUGUCCCUUUAAUUUAAAGCUACUACAUUGUUGGGUCAAGUUAUUACCCAAUUUCAUGAAGCUCCUUUUAUUGACUUUGGAGGUUGAAGGUAACUAUAUCUACUGAGCUGUCUCAAAUUGUUGGAUUUUGCAAACAUAAACAAUAUGAACUACUGAAAGAAAUUAGAAUUACAAAGGAAAAAAAAUGUAUAGAGUCACAUUAAAGAAUCAUAGUGUCAGGAACACAAACAUGUAUGCCUGACACAAUGAUGUUAAACCCACUAUUUAGGUUUUGGGCCCCGCUGUCAUUGCAGUGAAAAUGUGUUUAAACUCACCUCUUCUUGCACACCACCCCAAUCUUGACGUGGCUGUCCUCGCCUCAAUGGCUCAGAGCCCACACUAACAGCCCAUUACUGCCAUCCAUAUUUCUUAAAAAUAUGAAAAACCUAAUUGAAGGGACACUCCUGACAGUUUAGAUUGCUCAAGUGCUUCAUGUGUGAAGAGUGCGAUUCCAUUUUCUUUUUCCAUUUUUCAAAAAGUACAGAUUUCAAUAGAAAUCGAUACUUUUAUAAAUGAACCUUGUUACACCCCCUGGCUGUCAAUCAGACAACCGGUUCUGUUACUUCCUGGUUUGGUUAGCUCAGUGGAGAUAAACUCAAGAGGCAGCACUUGUCCAGAGCACCUGCCUUGCAAAGACUUCUCAUUGAGUUGCAUUGGGAAGUCUGUGAUUGGACAGCCACAGAAUGUCUGAACGGGGUUAGAAGAGGAGGGCUUGCAAAGGCUGCAGACACGAAAUCUGCAGCUUUUGUAAGCUGUUUUUAGAUAUACCCUCAAUGAAAAAAUGCAUACUUAAAUGCAUGCAUCUUUUAAUUGGGGUAAAUCAAUAAUCAGUGAUUUUAUUUUUUUUUGUUGAAUUUGAUAACUUGAAAAUGGACAAAAUAAAAUGAAAACUCUGCAUCCAAACACUUCACACACCCGUGGCAUACUUUUUAGUGGUUAUGGUAUUUAGAGCAUUACUGUAAAUGAACACACCAAGCACUUACAAUGCCAGGACUGCCAUAGCCCCGUCCCAGGGUAAGAAUCAAACUUUCUGCUAACUGAUAGCCCGCGUCAGCCCUGCUCCUCAUGCGGACACCCCUUAGUCUCAGGUUAACUCUUUCACAACCAAGCAAUAUUUGUUUGACAUAAUAUUAGCGCACCAUUUACUUGAAACAAGGGAAGAAAAGCUGGCACAUACGCUUGUAAUAAAACAGAAAUUUUGUAUACCGAUUGCUUCUGAGAGAAACAACAAUUAACAUUGUAAAUAUACACCAUUUUUAUUUUUUAUUUAAUCCUUCAUAACUCUAUAAUAGUGCUUUGGGUAAUGAAAAGGUGUGGGUGGCACACAGUAUUCUGUAUCUUGCCAUAUUUUACACAGCGCUCGAUUUGUUAGUACAAAAGCAAUAAUAUAAUUUUUUUCACACACAGUAGGUGUGACAAAAUUGAUAAAAAUGGAAACAGACUGCUUGUGGGUAGUUAAAGGAAUUAUCUGCAGUACAGCUUACUGAAAGAGGCAACAGAAUGUAAAAAUAAUGUCUGCAUUUGAAUAUAAUGCCCACAUACAGGUAAUACCAUUAAAUCAUACAUUUCUAAGGUAAUUUAAAAAGUGUUAUUGCAAUCUUUACCAAUAUCUGGAAUGCCAACAUAAUGCCAACAGUAAAAUGGUAUUGCUCAUUUACUCAUGUCUGUAGGAAUGAUAUCACUCAUUAAAACUACCUAUACUGUUUGAAAGGAGUGGGUAGCUGUCUUGUUCAGCACACUUGCAGGCAAUACAUUGGUCACCAGGAAAUUAUUCCUAAAGUAUAAAUGAGGUUAAGUGAGGCUUUAUAGACAAAAUUUUGUUCUGCAUGUGAAUGACAGUAAAAAAAAGUUUAUACUUGAUUCUGUAAGUGAAGGGAUCAACAAUUCUUGAUGAGGUAUCCUGGCAGCAUGGGGAAAAUUAAACAGACCGAGAAUAACAUUAAAAUAACUAUUUAUAGGUGACUAUUUUCAUCACAGUGCAAAAAAACAGGUCCUCACAAAUGAAUAUAAUAUUGAAUUUUUACGAGGCACUUUGAAAGUGCAAAAUGUACAGUUUUUGGUAGGAAUGUGUCCGGGUACAACACGUACAGUUUGUUUCUUUCCACAGUGGCCAACUGGAUGCAAAAGGUUUCCUAAUGCUAAUCCAGAGUUAAAACUCAGCCACAUAAAAUACUCAGUGGAGCCCUGCCAAUGAUCCAACAACACGGGCCUGCCAAUGAUCCAACCACUCAGGCCUGCCAAUGAUCCAACCAUUCAGGCCUGCCAAUAAUCCAACAGCACGGGCCUGCCAAUGAUCCAACAACACGGGCCUUCCAAUGAUCCAACAGCACGGGCCUGCCAAUGAUCCCACAACACGGGCCUGCCAAUGGUUUACCAACUCAGGCCUGCCAAUGGUUCAACAACACGGGCCUGCCAAUGAUCCAACAACACGGGCCUGCCAAUGAUCCAACAACACGGGCCUGCCAAUGAUCCAACAACACGGGCCUGCCAAUGGUUUACCAACUCAGGCCCGCCAAUGGUUCAACAACACCGGCCUGCCAAUGAUCCAACAACACGCCUGCCAAUGGCACAACAACUCAGGCCUGCCAAUGAUCCACAACAACACCGCCUGCCAAUGGCACAACAACUCAGGCCUGCAAUGAUCUAAGAACCCAUGCCUGCCAAUGAUCCAAGAACCCAUGCCUGCCAAUGAUCCAAGAACCCAUGCCUGCCAAUGAUCCAAGAACCCAUGCCUGCCAAUGAUCCAAGAACCCAUGCCUGCCAAUGAUCCAAGAACCCAUGCCUGCCAAUGAUCCAACAACACGGGCCUGCCAAUGAUCCAACAACACGGGCCUGCCAAUGAUCCAACAACUCAGGCCUACCAAUGAUCCAACCACUCAGGCCUGCCACCAUCACUCCAACAUGGGCUUACAAACAAUGCUCUAACACAGGUUUGCAAGCGAUGCUCCGAGACAGACCUGCAAGCAACACUCCAACACAAGACUGUCAUAAAUGUUUCACAACAGACCUACCAUCAAUGUUAUUACACCAACCGGUCAUGGAUGAUCUAACACUUGCCUGCCAGCAAAGUUCUGACACAGGCUGCCAGCGACGCUCCAACACAGGCUGCCAGCGAUGCUACAACACAGGCUGCCAGCGGCACUCCAACACAGGCUGCCAGCGGCACUCCAACACAGGCCCUCCUGUUUUACAGCUAAAAGAAGGUGAACUUGCAAAUGUCCUAACUUAGGCCUCAAUAUAGUUCGUUUGGAUCAGCAUCAGAAAUUAUCACAAUCUGUUAGAACAUUUUUCAAAUGAUUUAUUUUUCAAAAUUCCCACAUAUUUUCAUGGAAACUUCUCUAGAUAAAUAAUUUGAAAAGUUUUUCUAACAGAGUGAUCAUUUCUGGUGCUGUUCCAAAAUUAUUAAAGGGACACUAUAGGACCAGACCUCUUCAGCUCAUUGAAGUGUUCUUGGUGCAGUGUCUUGGGCCCCUGAACCUUGCAAUGGUAAUUACUGCAGUUGUUAUGGGUUAACUCUACCUCUAGUGGUUGACUACCAGACAGCCACUAGAGGGACUUCCAGGUCGUUAGGCGACUUUUGGUUGCCUGACUCUGGACGUCCCCACGCUUUGCACGAGGCCAUACAGCGUCACCCAAAACCCCAUAGGAAAGCAUUGUGUGAGAAGUCCUAAUGUGAGCGCGGCUGUCCCAGGAAUGCGCAUUAGUUCCCCCUUGCCGACUGAAGUCGGCGGGAGAGGAGCAAAGAUGGAACCAAAACCAGUGCCGAGAGACAUGGGCGCUGGAAUUAGGUAAGUGACAGAAGGGGUUUUAAACCUCUUCUGCAGCACGGGGGAGAGGAGCGAGGAAGGGGGGCAUUAUAGUUUACCUUUAAAUCGAGGCCUUCGCUAUUUUGAAGUUUAGCUUUCAAUUCACCACAGCUCACAGUCUAAUGGAAAAUCCCCUCUACACUCCACAAACAACCGGACACACACUCACAAUAGGCUUAAUUUACUAAAUAGUGCUUUGAAAGAUUUCAAAAUCAAAUAACAAAAUCUUGUCUAAUUCCUGGUAAGAUAUGGCAGUACAGAUAAAUAAUUGUGUUAGUGUACUGAUCUACAAUCAAUAAAUCGUACCAAUAGAUCUUAUUUACAGAAACCUAGAAUGUGACAGCAGAUAAGAACCAUUCGGCCCAUCUAGUCUGCCCAAAUGUUCUAAAUACUUUCAUUAGUCCCUGGCCUUAUCUUAUAGUUAGGAUAGCCUUAUGCCUAUCCCACGCAUGCUUAAACUCCUUUACUGUGUUAACCUCUACCACUUCAGCUGGAAGGCUAUUCCAUGCAUCCACUACCCUCUCAGUAAAGUAAUACUUCCUGAUAUUAUUUUUAAACCUUUGUCUCUCUAAUUUAAGACUAUGUCCUCUUGCUGUGGUAGUUUUUCUUCUUUUAAAUAUGGUCUCCUCCUUUACUGUGUUGAUUCCCUUUAUGUAUUUAAAUGUUUCUAUCAUAUCCCCCCUGUCUCGUCUUUCCUCCAAGCUAUACAUGUUAAAUUUCUUUAACCUUUCCUGGUAAGUUUUAUCCUGCAAUCCAUGAACCAGUUUACAGAGAGCAGUUCAAGGGAACAGUCAUUGUACUCUGUUUCAGAAUAUGUUGGUGCUUUACAAACAUUAAAGAUAUAUUUAACACCUUAAGGACACAUGACGGAAAUAUUCCGUCAUGAUUCCCUUUUAUUCCAGAAGUUGUGUCCUUAAGGGGUUAAUAAGUGAAACAUUUCAUAAUUAUUAUAUGGAAUGUAUAUUCAGUGAUAUGUAUUAUACAUGACAAUGACUUGCAGGAACACAAAGGUACAAAAUGCAUGUUCUGCAGAUAAGAUCUAAUGAUUAAAGGAAAAGGAAAUGUUUUAUGAUGUUUCGGUAAAUAUGGAAAGGAGAGAAUAUUAGAUUUACCGCAAGUCACAUAACACAACAUGGAAGUAACCCUGUGAGUGCCGGGGGAGGGUGGGGAAGGGCAAUAAAACACAGCACAAAAUAGAUUAUUAUUUUUAACACAUCUAAUUGUGUGGUCUUACUAUAAUCUAGUGCCAGGGAUACCAAGCUGUCUGGGAGAAAGCCACUAGAGGCUGACUUAGUGCUGCAUUGUAAACAUUGAACUUUCUGAGUGUAUAACAGAGCUCCACAGCAAUAAUACUCCCAGUAAUGAGUCUGAGUGUAUAACAGAGCUCCACAGCAAUAAUACUCCCAGGGAUGUGUCUGAGUGUAUAACAGAGCUCCACAGCAAUAAUACUCCCAGUAAUGUGUCUGAGUGUAUAACAGAGCUCCACAGCAAUAAUACUCCCAGUAAUGUGUCUGAGUGUAUAACAGAGCUCCACAGCAAUAAUACUCCCAGUAAUGUGUCUGAGUGUAUACAGAGCUCCACAGAAAUAAUACUCCCAGUGAUGUGUCUGAGUGUAUAACAGAGCUCCACAGCAAUAAUACUCCCAGUAAUGUGUCUGAGUGUAUAACAGAGCUCCACAGCAAUAAUACUCCCAGUAAUGUGUCUGAGUGUAUAACAGAGCUCCACAGCAAUAAUACUCCCAGUAAUGUGUCUGAGUGUAUAACAGAGCUCCACAGCAAUAAUACUCCCAGUAAUGUGUCUGAGUGUAUAACAGAGCUCCACAGCAAUAAUACUCCCAGUAAUGUGUCUGAGUGUAUAACAGAGCUCCACAGCAAUAAUACUCCCAGUAAUGUGUCUGAGUGUAUAACAGAGCUCCACAGCAAUAUUACUCCCAGUAAUGUGUCUGAGUGUAUAACAGAGCUCCACAUCAAUAAUACUCCCAGUAAUGUGUCUGAGUGUAUAACAGAGCUCCACAGCAAUAUUACUCCCAGUAAUGUGUCUGGGUGUGUAACAGAGCUCCACAGCAAUAAUACUCUCAGUAAUGUGUCUGAGUGUGUAAAAGAGCUCCACAGCAAUCAUACUCCCAGUAAUGUGUCUGAGUGUAUAACAGAGCUCCACAGCAAUAAUACUCCCAGCAAUGUGUCUGAGUGUAUAACAGAGGUCCACAGCAAUAAUACUCCCAGUAAUGUGUCUGAGUGUAUAACAGAGCUCCACAGCAAUAAUACUCCCAGUAAUGUGUCUGAGUGUAUAACAGAGCUCCACAGCAAUAAUACUCCCAGUAAUGUGUCUGAGUGUGAGCUCACAGCAAUAAUACUCCCAGUAAUGUGUCUGAGUGUAUAACAGAGCUCCACAGCAAUAAUACUCCCAGUAAUGUGUCUGAGUGUAUAACAGAGCUCCACAGCAAUAAUACUCCCAGUAAUGUGUCUGAGUGUAUAACAGAGCUCCACAGCAAUAAUACUCCCAGUAAUGUGUCUGAGUGUAUAACAGAGCUCCACAGCAAUAAUAAUCCCAGUAAUGUGUCUGAGUGUAUAACAGAGCUCCACAGCAAUAAUACUCCCAGUAAUGUGUCUGAGUGUAUAACAGAGCUCCACAGCAAUAAUACUCCCAGUAAUGUGUCUGAGUGUAUAACAGAGCUCCACAGCAAUAAUACUCCCAGUAAUGUGUCUGAGUGUAUAACAGAGCUCCACAGCAAUAAUACUCCCAGUAAUGUGUCUUUACUGCUCUAAAAUGUGCCCAGACUUGUCUGGUUUUAUUGCUGAACAUGUAAUGAGUCACACAAAGAGCGCAGUCACAGUUGGGAAAUCUGUUGCAGAUUUGCAGACUAAUAGAGCACCAUGGGAAAUGUAGUUUUUUUUAUUAUACAGCCUUGAGAAGUGAUGGCUAGUCUUGGCUUUACUAAGAUGCAGGUUUGCAUAGCUUCAUGGCAAAUUUAGUUUCUGCUGCCGGACAGGCUAUAACUCAUGCCAAAUGCCCCUAAACUAAGCUUUAUAAAAUUAUCUUAUUGCCACAAAAGAAAGUUUAGAUUUUUAUUUCUGCUGCCUUGCUAUGAAAAUAUAUUCAAAACUCUUUUGAUUUGCUAUAAUCACAAAAGAAGUACCUUAUCAAAAAUAUCCCUUUAUUGAUACACUGUAGUUAAGAAUCCCUUUAACACUUUGACCUCUGUGAGUCUAUGCAGAAUUAAACCACGUAGUGAGAUCAAGCUGUGGAUUUUAGCAGACACAAAUCAAAUGGUAUUUGAUAAGAAGGCUUAUCAAACAAAUUAUAUAAUGAAGAAAAUAUUUGUUUCCCUAAGACAAGCAUCCGUAUAUUAUAAUGUAUUUAAAUGCAAAAAACAAAAAUGUCUUUUUCACCAUGCGUGCUACGUUAUCUAUAUUGAGCUGGAAUAAUAACGGUGACAUUGUGACAUUGUUUUGCAGACGACUUCCUUGUGGCCAAAAUAUAUAUAUAUAUAUAUAGUGUUUAAAAAUAACAAGGAUAAAAGUGAUACAUGGAAAGUAUACUGUGGUUUGUUAAUAGAAAACGAACCAGAAAAUAUUUCCUUUGCUAAAGAAAACUUCGAAAAAAAUACUUCCUUUGAAAAAAACAACUAACGCUAUUCAUAAACAACCGAACAUAACACACACGGGCAAAUCAACAGAAACAUGCCCACAAGUUAAACCUUUUUUUUACAUAACUGUAUUCAAGAAUCAACAAAGGGAAUGUGGGUAAAGAAAUGAGCAAAUUUUAAAUUUAAAUAGCUUUAAUUUAGGCCAAUAUCUUAUUUAUUAAAAUGAUGGUGUAUUAAGAUUUACUUAGCAGAUGUUUAUCAUUUUAUACAACUUUUUAUUCCGUCACCAUUAGGUAAGGAGUAUACUCCCCCCAAAAAUAAAGUCUUUGUAGAAAACAUUAAAAGACACCAUUAAAGCAGAAAUACAAAAUGCACAGUACAAAAAGGUGCCGUAUAAAUUAAACUUGUUAAUCUGUUCUCUCUUUAUUGCCCCUGUUUCUUGGAACGUUACAGAAAAUAGCUAUUUUAAAGGGACACUAUAGUCACCAGAACAACUACAGCUUAUUGUAUUUGUCCUGGUGAGUAGAAUCAUUACCUGCAGGCUUUUUGCUGUAAACACUGUCUAAAUUAAUAAUGCUUUUCCUCUCCCCAUGUUCAGCAUGCGCACACACGGCGGAAUGGGGAAUUGCACAGGUGCAUUCAUGGAAUUCUAUGGGAAGUCCAGUAGCAAGCUUAGCUUCUGGUAAAAAAUCUAGGAAAUUCUUGAAAAGUUACGUUUAUUCCUUCCCCACCCCUCACGCCUACAGGUACAUUUUAAAGUAAAUUUAGGCCUUGGAUUUUAUAGCAAGGAAUGUAAAUAUGUAAAUCUGUCUGCAGUAACACCAUCUGCAAGUAUAUAGAUAGAAAGAAAUGAUCCUUCUGGCCUAUCUCCAUACAGAGCACUGGCAGGAACAAUUAUUGUUUUAGAACGAUCGCAUUUAUCCAUAUCUUUGUUGAAUGUCCGUGGGGGAUAUCCAACAAAUGCCAAAUUUUGGAUUCGGAUUUCAGUUCUCAGUCACUUUCAUUUUUUCAGUUUUUUUCUUUAAUAAACUGGGUUAAAUUCCUCCAAGAUUCAUUUUAUACACUAUCGCCCCAAAAACAUUGAGCUGAACAGGUCCCGUAACUUUCAAAUAGAUCUCAUUGUAGCAUUGAUAAAACCGAUCGGCAGCUAAAUGUUCCCCAUAUAACAAAAUAAAAAUGCUUGAGGUGUUUAGAGUAAAGUCAAAAUGAUUUAGGGUGAGGAGGGUUUUGUAUUACAGAAAAUUCCGUGGACUGUAAUCAUGGAAUGAAACUAAAUGAAAGAUUCCGUAGCUAUUCAGUUAUUUGUUACUAGGAGAAUUAGCCAGCAUGUAGGGAAAUUUAGAAAUUAGAAUUGCUAACUCAACUAGACUUGGAUGAGAGUGCAAAACAUGGAUGAAAUAUCUAAAAUGUUCCUUGUGUGAAUAGAAGUAACUCUAUUUUGGAUAUUUAGUUGCUAUCUGGCACUUACUAAACAAACCUCUUUUUUUGUUAAUGCAAACAUUUGUUCAUAAAUGCCUUAGAAUAAUCUCUGGGGUCUUGAUCUAACUGAUUUGUAAUUUCUGAUCACGUUUUUUUUAUUUUUGUCGACUCAACAAAAUGCGUCGGUCUCAAGGAAGGUGGAGGAAAUGAUCAGGUUACUACAUCUUAAAAGGGAUACUUUGCUGAAGUGCUUCAUGUAUGAAGAGUGUGUGUUUUCAUUCUACAAAAAAGUGCAGAUUUUGAGCGUGGUUAAAAGAGGAGUGCUUGCACAUGCUGCAGACAAGAAAUCUGCAGCUAUUGCAAGCUGUUUUUAGCUGUUUUCAAUGAAGGUAAAUCUACUAAAUAGUAGUUUAAAAAAAAAAAAAAAACACUUAUAUUUUUGUAUUUGGCCAGUGGAGUGCCUCUUCAAUCUAUCCUUUUCCUUGUGAUUCUAAUUUUAUACAUAGCUGAACCUAAUAACUCGUGCAGAUGUUUUGUGAAUACCAGGUUCAUUUUAUAGAGGACUGCAGUGAUUACAAAGGAAGCAUUUUAAAAAUGACUCAUAAUGUUAUCUAUAACUUUCUAUUUUUCAAGGUGUGUCACACAUGCCUCCUGAAAAGACACAGGCUGGGCCCUCCAUGUAAAGUAACAUAUUGUCCUAUAAUCCCUGGUGUGACUGAUGGGAUACAGCCGCUUUCUGAUUGCAGGAGACAUAGUAAAUAAAAUAGCAAUUAAGAUGCAACUUGGACAGGGUAUUAGAUUUAACCAGAACUUAGACGACCACACAGGGGCUUUAAAAAACUGUAAGCAAACUGGGUUGUUUAUAAUUAUGUUUCUUGUUGCUUCGUUAACAUUAUGCAAAUCCAAUGAAUUCAUCAUUUGCUUUACUUGCACUUUUUUUUUUUCUACAAAAUGGGAAUUUCCCAACGUAACGUUUGAGAGCUAAUGACAUGUUAACGGCUGCUGAUGAGGCAUUAACAAUAUAAACAGGAUCACAAUCUCGCAAUGCACAUACUCUUCUGCAACACUUUUAGAAUGAUCAGUUUGAUGAAUAAAGGCCGUAUGCCUUAUGUUACAUAGUUGAGAUUAAAGUAAUUACUUAAAGACAACAUGUUCUCCUCUGUCCAUGUUGUCUGCCCUUUGCCCUGCUGUGGGCGUAUGUUAACUAAUGGAUUGUGGGUAAAUUAGCACCUGAAAUGGAACUUUAUUUAAAGAAACACUCCGGGCAGCAUAACUACUUUAUCGGAAUGAAGUUGUUAUGAUUCCAAGAGGUCCCUAAUGCUGGCUGACCCACAGGGUAAGACUGCUAAUGAACGGUUUAACCCCAAAGUCUUCUGUCCAGUGCCAGUCAUCUCCGCCCACAUACUUCCAUUACAGUCCGAGGAGUUAAACAGGGAUACUGUUAUCGGCUGAAAGUUUCAGCUGUGUAUCCAAUAUUAUAUAUUGAUCGUUCCUUUGACAGUAGUAUCACAAAAGGUAGGAGAAUUACAAUUUGUCACUUAGUAAACCCCUAAAUAUUUUACUCUUAAAAAUAAACAACAAAUUGUGUAAAUCCUUGAGCUUUCGCAAUGUACCAGGAAAACCUUUGCUGUGGUUAAGAGGCCAUCUCUGUGUCAGUUACUGUUAGAACAUGUGAAUCCGCUGAUGGACAAUGAAGUCACCAGUCCGAUGACAUCACUGUAAACUCUACGCAGAAAUGUAAGAAGACGGUAAUAUGGGCAUCCUGCUGAGGAGGGAAAAGUGCUAGUUAACUGAAAGAGAGAAAGCACAUUAUACUUAAUCAUCUGGGAUGAACCUAAGGAAAAUGUCAAGACCAUGAAUCAUUGCUGAAUCUAUCCAAAUUGCCAGCGAGGAGACUUUCUCCUAAAACAUUUAUCAUGCUUGCCCUUGCAUUCUAAAACUCUACACAUGCACUGGAUUGAUGGGUUAUGGAGAUUGCCACUCAUGUACCAGGUGUCCCGAAGCAUUUCAUCGAACAUGUGCCAAGUGUCCCGAUGCUUCUCUAUGAGAAGCAUCUGAUUGAACACAAGUCAUCACAAAUGAUAACUUCACAGAAGGCAGGCAGGAGUUGCAAUGAGCAGACACUCCUGGUGCUGAAAUCGAGAGGAGUUUAUUUGCUAUUUAAUCCUUUCAAUGUUAUGCUCUGUGCAAUGUUCUGCUGGGAAUCCUUAGCAGACUGGUCACAGUCGAGAUAGUAUUAUCAGUCAAUCUUAUUUUCUCUCGAGCCAAAACCCUUAUUUUUAAUGCAUUAUAUAAGUAGUGCAUUAAAAUUUAUAAAUAAAAAAAUGUAGACUAAAAAAAGAUACACACCUUCAAAGUUCCAUUUGAUGUGCUGGUUACUGUGUCAGCCUAUAGCUGCAUACAGACAUCUCCUCAUCUGAAAAUGCCUCUUAUUUUAGUAAUUCAUCCCCUUGGGUAGUUAUUCGUUACAUUCAUCACACAGGAUGAUAUGAAUUGAUCUGUAAAAUAAUAGUGAGGUAACUCAGUUGGUAAAUUCCCUGACUACAGAGUCUGUUAAAAAAAAUAUUUAAAAAAUGCAAGAUCACAGGUUCAGAUCCCAGCAGGGUCAACUCAGCCCUUCAUUCUUCUGAGGUUGAUAAAAUGAGUACCAUCAGUUUGGUAAUAAUAACAACGUCUAUUAUUAUUCAGCUGCUGAUUGGGUGAAUUCUGAGUAAAUAUGAGUCUAACUGGGAGAAAUACUAGUUAUUAUGUUAUAUAAUAUACUGCUGUGGUCAGUUUGCACAUAGCCUAGCUCAUUGUUUAGUGAUCUGGACUAGUCACAGUCAGGAUGUCUGCAGCUCAGCUCUCUCAGUACAAGUUGGUGUGGCGGACUGACUGGCACCCCGACUGCGUGCCUCCGCCAAUCGAUGCUUCCUAGUGCUCACCAAGCACUCCACCAGACACCGUAAACACCGCAGCCAGCGUUGGGUUCUUGCUGUCCUGGACCAAAGACCCAAGAACUCUCACUUUAACCUUUAAUAAGGUAUUUUAGUCCCCAGAGAACCCGACACAACUAUACAUGGGUGGUAUCAAUGUACUCGGGAGAUGUUGCUGAACACAUAUUGGGGAGUUAUUUGGCAGUAACCCUUAAAGUUCUCAGUAUAUGUAUUCUUAAAUUGCUAUGUGGGUCAAAAAAAUCACCAAUUUUGGAGGUUUUUUUUUGGCAUAGAUUGGUGGUAAAAUGGUUGCACGAAAAGAGUCAAAAUACCCCAACCUUAGGUUGUCUUCUUUUAAAAAAAUAUAUACAUGUGUAGGGUUAUUCAGGAAUUCCUGACAGAUAUCAGUGUUACAAUGUAACUUGCGUUAAUUUUGAAGAAAAAAAAAAUGGUUUGGGCAUAGCAAAGUGCUACUUGUACGUAUAGCCCUAUAACUUCCAAAAAAAGCUAAGAACAUGUUAACAUUGCAUAUUUCUAAACUCAAGACAAAAUUUUGACUACUACUACCAACUAUUUAGAAUGGGUGUUUUUUGGGGGUUGUAGAUGCAUAACAUAUUUUUGGGCUCAAAGUUAGAAAAAGUGUGUUUUUUUAAAUUAUUUCAUCAUAUUUUAUAAUAUUAUUUAUAGUAACAUAUGAUAUGAUGAAAAUAAUGGUAUCUUUAAAAAAGACCAUUUAAUGGCGAGAAGAACGGUAUAUAAUAUGUGUGGAUACAGUAAGUGAGUACGAGGAAAAUUACAGUUAAACACAAACACUGCAGAAAUGUAAAAACAGCCCUGGUCCUUAACGGUAACAAAAUUGAAAAGCGGUCUGGUCACUAAGGGGUUAAUACACACACACACACACACACAGAUAUUUUAUACUUUAAUAUUUUGACAAAAUCAUUUCAAAAGUUUAUCCAAAAAUAUCAAAUAAUUUGAAAAGAUUAAACAAAAAUAUUAAAUCGAAGCCUUGUUCAUUUUGUUAAAGCCUGAGCUUAUCUUGCAGGGAAUCGAACCUGCGACUCAGACAGGAGCCCUAGCCACUGAAAUUUCUCACUAGGUUAGCAGUCUGUUUUUCUUUUUCGAACUUGCUGACUAAGCUAUUGCCAGGGAAUAGAUUUUUGGUACUUUAUACGAAUAUAGAAGUAAAUAAAAUGAAAGGAAAACAAUUUGUGCAAAUGUGUCCGGUGUUUGUGCCAAGUCACUGCAAGUUUCCCUUUUCCCUAUAAAAAACUGUUUCCUAAAUAAAAACAGGUCGACAAAAACAGCUUGGUUGGGCAAAGUAUGUGUUAAUUUAGACCCUCAGCGUUUCCCGUUUCCAAAAAAACAAGGAUAUUGAACAGUCUGCCAUCAGAUUUUAUUUACCUCCACAGGAAAGGCCUGAUUUAUAGAUGACCUAAAACCUUCCACAACAAGUGUUGGAAAUAAUAACACGUUCAAAAAGUCAUCUUGGUGUAUAGAUGCAAAAAUAAAUAUCUGAUUAAAGAGGCACGGUUCCAAAAAUGUUUUACGAGCGUAUAUAAAGCGACAGCGAAAGUCUAAGCUCAAGAGGCCACGAAAUUCUGUUUUGCUUUGAACUUCUGUACAAAACAAAUUACGCGUACAAGCUGAAAGUCUUUACAGUGAUGUCUUUAAUUUAAGGACACAUGACAUGUGUGACAUGUCAUGAUUCCCUUUUAUUCCAGAAGUUUGGUCCUUAAGAGGUUAAACUGGGAGCAUCAAUUGAAAAGAGAAAUUAAAAUUAAUCACUAAAGCAUAAUAAAUACUUAUAAUUUGCAUUCAGUAUUAGCAAACAAUUUAGGCAGAUGUUAAGAUAUUUGUAAAAAUACUUCUACAAUAUUAUCUACAUGUUCUUAAUGUAUUACAUACAGAGAGAACAUUAAAUACGGCGGGUAGAAACAUUUUAUCUACUAUUAAUUUACUAGAAAUGUUUUACAUGUGAUAAAAUAUGAAGAUUACUUUGUCAUUUUUAUUGACUUUAUUAUUAUGCUAUAUUAAAUCUUGGGGAUUUGCAUUAAAUGAAGAAUCGUAAGAAGUUUGUAUAUUACAUUGUAUAUUAUUUUUAAUAUAUUAUUUUUGAAUACAUUUUUUCAUGCAUUACCAAUAUAAUGUUCUAAACAAAGAAUUGGGAGUAUCCCUUUAAGUAAACACUGUUGAUACUUUGCGAUUUGUCGAGCAGGAGUAUAAAUUAAAGCAAACGACGUGCCAAUUGUUCGGGAAGGGAGGUGACACCACUUUAAAUAAUUAAUGUUGAAAUUGACGAGUUCUUUCUAUUCUAUUUUUAAAUUGCUCAGCUAGCUCUCUUCUACGCAAAAUGUAAAGCACAGAAAUGAUGUGUGAUGUGGAACAGUUUUUAGUAUUUUAGUAAAAUUGCCAUGUAAUGUAUAUAUAUACAGAUAUGAUUGGAUUUGCAAUGCCAUCCAACCAAUGUACCCAGUCUGUCCGAGUGGGCACGAUUAGCGGCAGUAUGUGCAAACGCAGAACAUUUUUCAUUUAUUAACAUUAUUAACAUAAUAAUUAACAGUAUUGCUAAUUAUGAAGAGCCAAAAUAUUCUAUGGUGAUCUGCAAUAUCUCACCUCUUGAUUGACUUCCGCAACUGAACCUAAAAUUCACUUUGAAAUGCAGACAGUAUGUAAGCCUGCCAAAUGGGCCUGUCUGUCAAUAUGAGAAAACAGGACAGGUAUAGUCUUACAUAAAUAUCACAACAUAACUUUGACAAUAAUAUAAAAGGGGUAACAAUUUCCACUGUAUAAAAAUAAAGUUCAUCGUACAUAUAAACAACUUCUUAAAUAGAAAUAAAAAAUAAAAAAAUGAAUUUAUCAUGUAGUUAUGGUGGAAAAGUGAUGAUAAAAUAAUGAGUGUAAGUAAAACAUUGAUAGGGCUGCCAGGAUGCCGAAAGGAUUUAUGUCACGGUUAAAAAGAAACAGUCUGGAAACUCCCUGAUAGUGACAGCCCCUCAUUCCUUCACCUCAGCAAAUGCUGCUGAAGUACUUUUUGGGGUACGCAGGGCAAGUAUAGCUAGGUAGGUGUAAAACAUAUGACAUUCUUUCCAAAGAGUCUGAAUGCACAGCACCAUGGGUUUUUAAUUAAUUUGCAUGGUAUGCCUUGGCUGUGUCAGGAACAGCCGGGCAAAUAAUGUCAUUUAAACAAUAAAAACUAUUGUUAUAUUUUAGUAAGCUAAUGGAACAUGCACAAAUCUCCAGACACACACACACACACAUACUACUGACAUGCUGCCUGGGUGUUUAAAAAAUUAUUUUCUUUUUCUUUUUUUUUUUUAUGAUAAAAUAAAGAAAUUGGAACCAAACAUCCAGUCCGAUUGUCCACCAUAACCACUGUGUAUUGGGAGUUUUUAAGUGUUGCAGUUCAGCUAGCAGGUUUUUUGUUUUACUUAAAGCUGUAUAACCCACGACUAAGUUAAUUCAUAAAGUCCACAAAUUACUCUAUAGCAUCCAGUUUAUAUAACCCUGCACACAUAACUUCAUUCUUUUUCAUGAAUCAAACCUACAGUGGAUAGUAAUAGCGCACGUCCCGGCUAACCCGUAUAUAUAAGGUUUCACUAUCACUCCAUAAAGGGAGCAAUUGGAUUGGCUGAGCCACUUCCUGGUUUGAUGAGAUCUUACUGCACAAGAAGUAAAUGAAGGAACGCCAAAGGUUAUUUCAAAUUUAUUUGUUUGGAAAUUUAUAUUGAAAUAUUUGCAUAACAUACUUAAAAGCACAGGGGAGAUUUAGUUUAAAUCUGCUACCUUUUGAAAGACCAAUGUGAUAGGAAAAAAAAGACAGACACGUAAUUAUGGCCGCAGCAAGUCUCUUUUUUUUUUUUUUUUGCAUUUUUGUAAAAAAAAUAAUAAAAAAUAUUCAAUUUUCUGUUUUUUCUGUUUCUGACUAUCAUUAUUUUAUUAAAUUAAAUAUUAAAAUUAAUAUAAAUUGGAUAUAAUUAGUGUUUUAGAUGUACUGUAACGGGCUUUUCUGUUAAAAAAAGAAUAUAGAUAGAUACAUACAUAUUUUGCUUAAAACUUUCUUUACUUAAGCUCCCCAGCAGCAUAACUUUCACAUAGUAACAGGAUAAACCAAUCAGAAAAAAGAACACAGGUAAUAAAAGUCCCUCCCCCAUUUAGCUCUUCCUCUUUCUUUGCUGCUCCUCACCAGUACAGCUCACUGUCUCCCACUCUGUGGGGAUUACUGUAUUUUAUCUUGUUUUUUCUGAUGUUUCUUUUUAUUCUGUCAUUUCUUAUGGUUUCCCUUAUUAUAUAUGUUUUCUGAGGUACAUCCUGUUUUUAUAAUACUUCUACUUUUGCUUUAUAUUUUUUCCUCUCUUAUUUUACAUGGGUUUUUGCUCUGCUUUCUCUCAGGGUAAUUUUCAUUAUUUUGUUUUGUGUCUUAUUGUUUCUUUUGUGUUGCUUUCAUUUGUCCGGUAUAGCGGCUGGCUUUUUGCCUCCCCGAUUUUCCAGGGCUUUUUCUACCUUGUGGCGGCCAUCUGAGAUCCCGCGCACUAGCGCUAAAUCCUGGCAGCCAUCUUGGAUCCUGCGCGCCUGUGAGAGAUUGCGGUGGCCAUUUUGUUGGAGUCUGCGAUCCGUGCAGGCUCUCUAGUGCGCAUUGAUACCCUAGUUUGCGCCUGGCUCGCGGCUGUCUCCCGCAAAUCGCUGGAUGCUAUCUGAUGCACCUAGCCUUACGUUAGGCUAGGUCAUCUCUCUCAAUGAUUGUAGUUUGCUCUGGGAGGAUUAAAGUUUUAAUUCAAGUAUAAGUGAUUAGUAUAUUGUGUCAUUAAACUAGCUUGCACACAUUGCUAUGAAUCAGUCUGCUUUUGAUUGUUAGUAUAUCAUCCUAAUUCCAUAGAGUGUUUUUCUCAUAUGUAUUCAAGGUUCCUGCAGCAGUCUCACGCACUGCUGCCACCCUUACUUUACCAUCUGUAUCACAGGAUUCAUAUUUAUUAUUAUUUACCUGCAUUACGCUACAGGGUUUAGAGGGUGAGCCCCUCUUAUUGGACCCUUCACUAUAGCAGAGUGGGUACUUCUGCCACAAUACCUAUACUGGGGUAAACCCUCAUAUUAUUAUUAUAUCUACACUAAGCCACUUCUACAUCCAAGUGAUAUUGUAAGGGGUGAAACCCCUAUAUUUAUUUAUGACCACUCUAUCGGGUAUAUUUAUAUUGGUCACUGCAUGGUUUCGCUGUCCCUGGUACAUCUAUCUGAUUGGCCCGCUUUGUCUGUGCCCUAUUACCUCCCUACAGGGUAUAUAUACAACCGGAGGAUUUUUCUACUGGGUCAGCCCCAGUUAUAUAUAUGUGGCUAAAUUUAUUACAUAUAUGCGCACUGGUCCCUGUUUCUAAUACUGGCUUAUUCUGCCCCUCAGGUGAACUGGCUAACAUUAUGGAUUCCGCUCAAGACCAGAAUCUCCAGGCGCUUAUUAACGCAGCAGUGGCUGCUUCUAUUGAAAAGGCCCUAGCACGGGUCCUUCCCUCGGAGCUUAAGGACAAAACUUCCCCCGAGCCACUACGCUCUGCAGAAGAAUGUGAUGACUCAGAUUCCCCCAAGGUGUGCAAAUUGGAAAGGGGAGGGGUUACCUUCUCCAGAUCCCAACGUACGGAAUCCGAUUUCUUCGCGGCUUUCUAUCCAUAUUUUUCCAAUUUCACGAAAUUAUGUGUGGCGUCUACCCUCUCUCAUUACUGAGCUGUUACCGCUUCCCUCCGUUCCUCUCCCUCUGGUCAACUAUUGGUCUCGUACGUUUGCCUCCAUGCCCCAGUCUCAACCACCACCCUGGCACAUUGGAUCAGAUGGUUACUCUCCUUAGCGAGGGUCGAAGCUUCCUUUGGGGCACAUUCGGUCAGGGGGGCGGCGGCCUCAGGUGCAUUUAUGGCAGGUGCUUCUCUACAUGAUAUCCCCAAAUCCACGGAUUGGUCCCGGGAGGAGACUUUCCGCAAUUUCUACUUCAGUCCGGCUGUGUGUCAAAACAGCAAAAUAUGAAGCCUCCUGUCAUGUUAUAAAAUUGUAAAUUUUGCUAGCUUUAGUGUAUCUUAAUUUUAUUAAUGACAGGAGGCGAAUAUUUCCCACCCUUUCUUUUCCCUGUCCCUUUUGUUUGCUUCAUCAGGUAAGACAGAGGGGUGAGUACGGUUGCAGUUCUCUUAUAGCAUGUCUGGUUUUUUGUUCAGUUAGUAACUAUAACUGGUUAAACUCUGAAUUUUAAUCAUCUAGGUUGCAUGCAUUUAGGAGUCCAAUUCUCUGAUGAAUCCCUCCUUUCGACUCUCUUCUUUCGUUUCAGUUUAAAAGGCCUUCCAGUGUGCAGAUUCAAGACCGUUCCUGUUAAUCUUGGACUCUUCUGAGACUUAAUUCCAGUUCGUUCAUCAGUUCCUGUUUGGUUCGUGUCGCAGCCAGAAAGAGGAAGAGCUGAUUUGGGGAGGGACUUUUAUUAUCUGUGUUCCUUUUUUCUGAUUGGUUUAUCCUGUUACUACGUGAAUGUUAUGCUGGGGAGCUUAAGCAAAAUAUGAAGCCUCCUGUCAUGUUAUAAAAUUAAAAUUAUAUUACUAAAGCUAGCAUAAUCUACAAUUAUAGCGCAUAUCACAAAAAUACGUGUUCUUUUUCGUGAAAAGUGCAAAAUGUACUUCACACAAGAACACAAAGAAAAAUAAGUUAAUGUGCGUAUCUUGCACAGUCGUAGCAAUAGCGAUAACGCUUUUUUAGAAAAAUGAUGAACAGAUGGUAUUUUCUGUCCAUUUUUGAAGGAAAAGGGUUACUAUGUGACGCAGUCUGUGACUGUAUUUUGUGAAAGUAUUUGUCGUGUGCACACGGGAUGCAGACACACCACAUUACACAUUACGAACGUGGAAUGGAAAAACUGGCUUUUCUAAAGAGAACAACAAGUCACCUAAAUAUACUUUACUAGCCUUAGUCCCCUAAAUACAUUUCCCAUGAUGCCCCGGUGGCCUAAUUGCUGAAAAAUGAGGGUAUAUACAGUGAUUUAGAUUUUAUUCCUUGUAGAAGAUUGAAGCUAAAUCACAGAUAUGUCAGUGCAGAAGCAUUAUGUGAGCUCCCACAAUGCAGAGUGUGGUAUCCCUUAAUGCAAUGCAAGCUAACCAAUACAUUACAUAAUUUUAUAUGUGAUAUUUUUAUUAUUAUAUAAGGGAAACAAUAAAUAGUAAUUGACCCCAAUUAUCUAAUGCAUUAAAUAGCUAAUGUGUUAAAAAAUAUACAGAAAAAAAAAAGUAAAGUAAAAAAUGAAAACCUAGAUCAGAAAGCUGCUACACUGGAACACAAAGUGUCCACAACUGGAAGGCUCCUCCUCCUAGACCAGGAACAUACCCUUGUCCCCCCCGUAACCUUUGCAGCGUCAUCUACUUUUUACAGUAAUGCUGGUGAUUUACCAAAGUGUGGCUGAAUAAUCUGUACCUUUUCUGAGAUAUUUCUGACCCCCUUUUUGCACUAUUUAUGACAUUUGCAAAUUCUCCAUAAUUUUUUAUUUUGGGUCACUUUUUGUUUAAGGUAUCCCAUUAUUAACAUCAACAUAAUUUUUCCACCAGAAAACUAUUGGUUUUUUCCCUGGAGUUCUCGUACAUUACUUUUUAUCGCGGAGAGCGGCGCAGAAUACUCGCGGGAAACAAAAGGCAAAUACCUAUUUUUCUUUUUGACAAACAUUUAGAAACAUUGAUAUAUCUCCCUCGAUCUGUGGCAAGGCAAGGCAAGGCAAGGCACAAUGACGCAUGAUGCGUUCCACGCCUACAUACAGCCAAUGAUUAAGAGUCAGAUCCAGGUUUGAAACAUGUCAAGUUCUGCUUUCCCUUGUAUUGAGUUAUUCGAAUGACCUAAUCUGAUGUUACUCAACUUUGAAGAAUCACAUAAAAGCAAUCAUUUCCACAGAGCCCCGUGUAUUAUAUGCUGCCUAUGUGAAAGUCCAUUCAUAAAGUGAAUGAAGUAACCUUGCGAAAUUCUAGCUAAAAUAGUCAAAUUGUAACUAAAGCAGAGUUGUUGCAUAUUUUUUUUUUAAAUUAACUUUUGUUGGUGUCAGUUUUGCAAUUCAGGUUUCAAUACAUUGCAAGUCACAGUUUAGUAAAAUAGAUCCCUUUAAAUUGUGUUCGUUAAACACUAAAUUGUAGUAAAAAGGAAAAUUCAUGACAAAGUGCAAAUUGGAGACUAUAGCUAAGCUAAGAAUGAUAUGGAUUUCUGCACAAAUUGGUCAUAAAAUGUGAUCUGAUCAUCAUCUAAGUCACAACAAUAGACAAUCACAGUCUGCUUAAACUAAUAACACACAAAGAAUUAAAUGUGGCCAUGUUUUUAUUGAACACACCAUGUAAACAUUCACAGCGCAAGUGGAAAAAGUAUAUGAACCCCUAGACUAAUGACAUCUCCAAGAGCUAAUUGGAGUGAGAUGUCAGCCAACUGGAGUCCAAUCAAUGAGAUGAGAUUGGAGGUGUUGGCUACAGCUGCCCUGCCCUAUAAAAAACACACACCAGUUCUGUGUUUGCUUUUCACAAGAAGCAUUGCCUGAUGUGAAUGAUGCCUCACACAAAAGAGCUCUAGAAGAACUGCGAUUAAGAAUUGUUGACUUGCAUAAAGCUGGAAAGGGUUAUAAAAGUAUCUCCAAAAGCCUUGCUGUUCAUCAGUCCACGGUAAGACAAAUUGUCUAUAAAUGGAGAAAGUUCAGCACUGCUGUUACUCUCCCUAGGAGUGGCCGUCCUGUAAAGAUGACUGCAAGAGCACAGCGCAGUCUGCUCAAUGAGGUGAAGAAGAAUCCUAGAGUGUCAGCUAAAGACUUACAAAAGUCACUGGCAAAUGCUAACAUCCCUGUUAGCGAAUCUACAAUACGUAAAACACUAAACAAGAAUGGAUUUCAUGGGAGGAUACCACAGAGGAAGCCACUGCUGUCCAAACAAAACAUUGCUGCACGUUUACAGUUUGCACAAGAGCACCUGGAUGUUCCACAGCAGUACUGGCAAAAUAUUCUGUGGAUAGAUGAAACCAAAGUUGAGUUGUUUGGAAGAAACACACAACACUAUGUGUGGCGAAAAAAAGGCACAGCACACCAACAUCAAAACCUCAUCCCAGCUGUGAAGUAUGGUGGUGGGGGCAUCAUGGUUUGGGGCUGCUUUGCUGCGUCAGGGCCUGGACGGAUUGCUAUCAUCGAAGGAAAAGUUAAUUCCCAAGUUUAUCAAGACAUUUUGCAGGAGAACUUAAGGCCAUCUGUCUACCAGCUGAAGCUCAACAGAAGAUGGGUGUUGCAACAGGACAAUGACCCAAAGCAUAGAAGUAAAUCAACAACAGAAUGGCUUAAACAGAAGAAAAUACGCUUUCUGAAGUGGCCCAGUCAGAGUCCUGACCUCAACCCGAUUGAGAUGCUGUGGCAUGACCUCAAGAAAGCGAUUCACACCAGACAUCCCAAGAAUAUUGCUGAACUGAAACAGUUCUGUAAAGAGGAAUGGUCAAGAAUUACUUUUUCCACCUGCACUGUGAAUGUUUACAUGGUGUGUUCAAUAAAAACAUGGCAACAUUUCAUUCUUUGUGUGUUAUUAGUUUAAGCAGACUGUGAUUGUCUAUUGUUGUGACUUAGAUGAUGAUCGGAUCACAUUUUAUGACCAAUUUGUGCAGAAAUCCAUAUCGUUCCAAAGGGUUCACAUACUUUUUCUUGCAACUGUAUACUCACCUUCUGGUGACCUCACCUGGAUGAUGUUUUGCCAAUCAGGGGCCACUCAUUCUGGCCUGUGAGGUCUGUCCAGAAGUGGUUUAUGUAUAAGGAGUUUAACCCUUAAGAGCAGAGGCAGUCAUCACACAGGGUUAACUGCUCAAUAAUCUGAUAUAAGUUAUGUGCGUCUGCUAACCGUGUACACACAGACUGGUACACACAGACUGGUUCACACUUUAGUGAACUGAGCCGUAUGUUAAUUACAGGGAGAGGAGAGAGAUUAUCCUACGUUGCAUGGGCAGCGUACAAAUACCGCAUACCGAUCUUGGACAGAAUGAACACAGGCUGCCUGAAAAAAUAGAAUUCCAGCUAUGAAUGACAGCUGGGGGACAGACGUACAGACUUACGAGAUUAUUAACACCAGAUUUUAACUGGAUGAAUAAAAUUUGGUGAAAAUAACAACAUUCCUACUGCAUUGGGAAUUCGUAGUAUUACUAAAUCCAGAUACGGAUGGAAUUCCCUCUGUCUGGCCUGGUGUGAAGCAGUUGUAUGGAUGCAUUAGGUGUCUGGAUUAAAAACGCCGCUUUCACAUCUGAACCUAUACGAAGGUUUACAAAGCGCCAGCUUUAACAAAAUUCAGUAGGGUGCACGUUAGCAAAAUUAACAUUAUUUUCAGUUUUUCAAGUGAAUUGAUCAUUUGAGGAACGGUUUGUCCAUUGGGCAAACAGUUAAAAAACAACAACUUUGCAGCAUAAAGGUUAACCUCUUAAGGACACAUGACAUGUGUGACGUGUCAUGAUUCCCUUUUAUUCCAGAAGUUUGGUCCUUUAGGGGUUAAUUAUGGGCUGCUGUCUGCCACAUGAAAUAUUUUAUAUAAAUAAAUAGCCUAUAGGAGUCAUUAUUACUAUAAAGGUAUACUCACAUGGCAUGGCAUAGGGAACGUGGAGGCGUCCUGCUGGCAGAGCAUGGAGACUAGGGGCAGAAAUCUCACUGCAGUUCUCAGUCUGCUCCCUUGCGCGGCCUGCUGUGAUACCGGAAGCCGAGAUAUGAUGUCAUUCCAGCCCCCGCAUUACUAUACAGUGCGUGAGGGAGCAGAGCAAGCAGAGCUUGAAGAUUAAACAAGAUUACACUAAAGCCCAGGAUAAUAAUCCACUCCAGCUCUAACAAAGGUGCACAGAAAUAAAAAUAAAAAACAAAUAUAUGUGAGUGUGUGAAGAAAUGUGUCUGUCAGUGAGGGAGUGUUUUAGGUUACUGGCCCCUCUCUGAUCACAUGGGAAAGGUGUCGAUCUCAGCCAAGCCAAUGCUUCUUCGUAGGAAAACAUUGGGAGGCUAUUGCUAAUGCGUAACAAAACGCCACUCAGCGCCAAUCAGCAUAUCCUUAAAGAUAUGCUUUGAAUCCAUGCAUCUAUGGGGAACAUUCAGCGCCUCCAUGCAGAGCGUGGAGACGCUGAACGUCAGUGCUGCCUACUGUGCAGCCCUGGACUAGGAAGCACCUCUAGUAGCCAUCUGAGUGACUGUCAGUAGAAGUGUUACAAGGCAGCAAAGUAAACACUGCAAUUUCUCUAAAAAGGCAGUGUUUACAUUGCUCUGCCGACAGGGACAGGAGACACCAGAACCACUAUAUUAAGCUGUAGUGGUUCUGGUGACUAUAGUAUCCCUUUAAGAUAUGUAUUUUUGUCAUUGAAAGUGAAACAUUCUUAGUUAAAAAAAUCAAACAAAAAAAACUGGAAACUAACUUUUUAGCUGGCUCCUAGAUUCCAAGCAAAUUUGUCAAGCCCUGGUCUAUAAUAUAGAUUAGGGAGUAGUGAUAGGCUGAGAGUCCCUUUAAUUUUAUGCCUUCAACAUUCUGACAUACAUCUCAUAUCAGCGAGGGGAUCUAUGGCAGAUUGCAAACUUAGUGUAAACAGUCAACUAAGUUAUACUAUAAAAUGUUAUCUGUUAGUACACGGCUUGAAAAUUUUUCUUUGAAUCUAGGAGCCAGCUACAAAAGUUAGGAGCCAGGUUUUUUAAUCUUACAAAGCUUUAUUUUCUACAACAAAAACACAAUUCUUAAAGAGACACUAUAGUCACCAUGAGCACUACAGCUUAAUGUAAUGGUUCUGGGGUCUAUAGCCUGUCCCUGCAGGCUUUCCAAUGUAAACAAUUACUUUUCAGAGAAAAAGCAGUGCUUACACUGCUGCCUAGUGAUACCUCUAGUGGCAGUAACUCAGACAGCCACUAAAGUGCUUUCUAUUCCAGGGCUGCACAGUAGGCAGCAUCUACAAUCAACACCUCAACACUCUGCAUGGAGGCGCUGAAUGUUCCCCAUAGAUAUGCUCUAGGAGGGUAUGCUGACUGGCAGCGUUAUGCAGCGCAUGCACAGUAGCUUCUCAGUUGGAUUGGCAGAGAUCAUCAAUCUGAUUAUUUCAGCCAUAGAGAUGGGGCCAGCUGUAGGGGGUGGGGGGAGUAUAAACACCAUUCCCACAUGAUCGGAGGAGGGGCUGGUCACCUAAGCACAAGCACACACAUACACUGACACACAGAUGCACAUAUACAUUAUUGAUAGACAAACACACAUGCUGACAGACAGGCACGCACACACAUAAACUGUCAAACAUACUCACAGAUACAGACAUACACUGACAGACACAUGCACAUUUACAUUGAUGGACACACACACAUGCUGUAUCUAAUGUUUGUGUGUAUUAGAUACUGUUUGUGCAGUGAAUGCAGAGUGUGUGUUUGUGUAGCGGAUGCAGUGUGUAUAGUGAACGCAGAGUGUGUUUGAGUAGUGGAUGUAGUGUGUGUACAGUGAUGUAGUGUGUGUUGUGUAGUGGAUGUAGUGUUUGUGUGUACUAGAUGAAAUGUGUUUAGUGGACGCAGUGUCUGUAUUAGACGCAGUGUCUGUGUAUAGUGAAUGCGGAGUGUUUCAAUGUGUGGUGGAUGUAGUGUGUGUACUGUGAAUACAGGAUGUUUGUGUAGUGGAUGCUGUGUGUACAGUUAAUGUAGAGUGUAUGUUAGUGUAGUGAAUGCAGAGUGUGUGUCAGUAUAGUGAAUGCAGAGUGUGUGCAUAGUUUAGUGAAUGCAGAGUGUGUGUUAAUGUAUAGUGAAUGCAGAGAGUGUGUUAGUGUGUAGCGGAUGCAGAGUGUGUGUCGGUGUAGUGAAUGCAGAGUGUGUGUCAGUGUAGUGAAUGCAGAGUGUGUGUCAAUGUAGUGAAUGCAGAGUGUGUGUCAGUGUAGUGAACACAGAGUGUGUGUUAGUGUGUAGUGAAUGCAGAAUGUGUGUUAGUGUAGUGAAUGCAGAAUGUGUGUAAGUGUAGUGAAUGCAGUGUGUGUUAAUGUGCAAUCUAGGGGAGAGGGGCUGGAGGAAGGGGCAUUUUCACAUUAAUUUUAUAUUAAUUUCAUUAAAUGUUUCUCCCCCCCUCCCUGCUUCUUACCUGUGUCCAGGGAGGGGGGAGAUUACAUCCCUGGUGGUCCGGUGGCAUGGGGGGGCCCCGGCUCCCUGUUACCGCAGAGGGGGCCCAGCACACUGCCUCUACUCUUCUCUUCUAAUAACUCUCGCGAGUAACCCGUGGCAACACUCAGAAGGCCACGGGUCUCGCAAGAGUUAUUAGAAGAGAGGAGAAGAGUAGAGGCAGUGUGCUGGGCCCCCUCUGCGGUAACAGGGAGCCGGGGGCCCGCGGCUGCAAACAUAGAUAGCGAUAUUCGCUAUGUGUGCAGAGAGGGAAUGUGGGGCCCGAGACUGCCAGAGCAGACCGGGCCCCCCAGGACCGCCGGGCCCGUUACAACCAUCAUGGUUGUCACCCGCUGAUGGCGGCCCUGGUCAACAGAACAGCUUAUUGUAUUUGUUCUGGUGAGUAUAAUUAGUCCCUGCAGACUUUUUGCUGUAAACACUGUCUUUUCUGAGAAAAGGCAGUGUUUACAUUACAGCCUAGUGAUAACUUCACUGGCCACUCCUCAGAUGGCUACUAGAGGAACUUCCUGGGGCAGUGCAGGACACUGCAGCACUGCCAUUCGGUGUCUUCACCCUCAGCAUGGAGGCACUGAACUUUCCUCAUAGAGAUGCAUUGAUUCAAUGCCUCCUUGGCUGAGAUCAUCAGAAUUGACAAUCUCAGCCAAUCCAAUGCUUUCCUAUGGGAAAGCUUUGUGACUGGCUGAAAUCAUCCAAGCAGACAGAUCGGGGCAGAGCCAGCACCAGCAGACUGGAAUAAAGGAAAGAUUUUUCUAUAUUUAGGGGGACAAGGGAGGGGCCAGGGGGGCUAGAGAUUGUUUUUUUUCAGGAAUACCUGUUUGUGUUCUUGGCCCUAUAGUGUCCCUUUAACAAAUGAUAUAGGGUAUUUUCCAUAAAAUAAUCCUUUGUUGGACAUAGCCUCCAGUAAAUCUGUGCGGAAUACAAAAUAGAACUUAGUAUAAGAUGGAGGACAAACUCAGUUUUGGGUGGAUAGAUAGCAGAAGUAUGGAUUUUUAAACCAAUGCUGUUAUAAGAUACAAUACUUUACAAGGUGUACGUGUAGUUUCUCCAAUUAUGCUGAAAUAGCUAUUUUAUUGUCCUUUCCUUUUGCCGUCCCUCGCGAUCGCUGCCAUGUUUAGGCUGCAGAUCCCUUCGGGUCCUGGCUCUUCACAUUACCCUCAUGCAUGCGCAAGAUUAAAACACGGAGGUCUAUGGAGGAUCCUGCAAGAUAAUCCACAGAAAAGGCUUGAAGCACACAGCCAUCCGACGGCUACUGGGAUUGGACAAAAGUUGACAGACUUUACCAUAAGACACAGUAGUCCCUACUUUGUCUUAGGAUAACUUUGGAUUUUGUUGGGAUUUCAGUAAAAUUCCAAUACAGCCUUAAUCAGCAUUUUAUAAAGAAUAUAUAAAAAGUGACAGAUCUGCUUUAAAUGAUGCAUACUAUUAUUUGGUACAAGUUAGGUCCCCACUCAUAUCUAAUUUUAGUAAUGUGGGAUCCAGACUAAUAACACAAGGUUUUGGAUUUACUCUGCUUUAAUGAAUAGCCCUGUAAUAUGUUCACCCAAAAUAAUGACCACUUAUUGCCUCAAAUUAUUUAUGCAGAAAACACUCUUCUUCUCUGGCUCUUUAAGGGUUAAUAGUAAGAUAUUAUCUGUAGAACACCAACUCCACUGAGGCCUGGAACACGCUGUAUCAUAAGUAUUUCACAAAACACUGCGAAUCAACCCAAAUAUAAGCACAACUGUGGCAGACAUUAGUCAGGAUUUCCUUUACUUUAUGGAGUUUUUCUUCCAAAAACAAACGUUUUGGGGGGAUGGUGGUAAUUCUGGGGAAUAACUAUAUAUCUUAUUUCUUGGGAAAACAUUUUAAUAAACCAAAGCAACAAAACAUAUUAAAUUAUAAUACUAAAAAAAAAAUGGAGGUUCCUUCACUAGACAGUGAUUUGUUAUAAAUUUAAAGGGACUCUCUAACAGCCCACAAUAGAUUGGUUAUGGUGGAAGUAAGCCCCUUGCACCGUCCCAUAAUCCCGUGUCAAACCAUUUACAAACUGUCUGACACCAAGAGUACCCUAAGCACCUACAGCCUCCCUCGCUCGCCAUAUUGCUACUGCUGAAUUUAUUUUGUCUAAUAUGUAAGAGUAAUUUCAACUUAAUUUUAGCAGUAUUCAUUGGCUAAAUGUGUCAGCUGGGUUGCUCUCAGCCAAUCAAUGCUCUCCAAACUUGCCCGAAACUUACAUUUUCAAAACCAAACUCUAAUUUCUGCAUUAGCAACCCAGCGUGUAGCCUACUAGAACCACUACGAUGGACUGUAACAUUUAUGAUGCUCAGUGUCUCUUUGACAGUCACACCGAUGAAAAAUGUACCCACAAUCAUCUAUAACUUGUUAAUACUUUUUUUUUUUUUAAGUGAUGCUUUCGUUUUUUUCUAAAAAUGUAUAUUAAAAAUUUAGCAAGUGACAUCACAAUCCAUGUCAGUACCUGGCACAGCCAUGGCAUACAAUGCAAAUGACAAAGAGAAAUAGGAUAGCUUGGUUUCUCCUCUAACAGCAACUAAAUGCAAUGGAAUUAAAGUGUAACAUUUAUGAUGAUUGACCAUAGUAAAGAUUAAGGUGCCCAGCUCAGGGAUAUUUUAGUACAUUUCCACAUUUAAUUUAAUUAACCAAAUGUCAAAAUUAACAUAUUUUCAAAUAUAAGAGAUAGGAAAACAGAAUAUUGAAAAUCCCGUGAGGUUACAGUUCUUCUUUAAAUCAGAAUUUAUAAAAUUACCAACAUAGUUAAUUCUGGAACAUUUUCUACUUUAUCAAUUUUAGCAUGAAUUCUCAAUUUCCAUUUCCAAGUCGCUAAACGCCAAACUGUGGAAAAUUGAAAACAGAAUUGCAGAUUUGAGGUUAAAAUAGCCGUUUUAUGAUUGUAACUGAUUUCAGAUCAGCUGUUUUGCCUACAUUUUCCAUUUCUAAAUAGCAGAAGUGGAACAUUCUCUGUCAGCUUUCAAUUUGAAAACUUUCGCCUUAAAACAGAAAUACUCCAUUAGUAAACAACCCUGGAAGAUACAUGUUACAUUAACCGACCAGGGUUGUAAAUACUUUACCAAAUUGCCAUGUUUUCCUGGACACAAAUCACUGCCAGCUUUAAAAGCAGUACAUGAAAAGUUCUCCCCUUUAAGUAUUCAUAUGCUGUAGAAGAGAUCCAGCAGAAUAUGAAUUCUACAGACUGCAGGGUAGCACUUUCCAUGCCUUAGUCUGUCUGCAGGAAGAGAUGAUGUCAGUCCAGGCUCACCAUUUACUGGAGGGGUUAACCAAUGAUAGUAAUGGAUGUGAUGAGAGAAUUGGGAUACAAUCUUAGUAAAUAGUGUCCUUUGCCAGCUGUAAUCCCUCUCUAUUCAGAACAGGACAGGCCUCUCAUAUAUAGCUGUUAACCCCUUCCGUGCCAGCCUGGUAGGCUGAUAGAAUUCCUACCAUAGUAGAGUAUAUGAACCUGAUGCCCAGCUGGUGUAUCUACCCUGUUGCACUGAAGGGGUGUUUUCUGUAAAUAACAGGGAGGCUGGCAGUGUUAUAAGGGGAGAUCAGCUGUUACAGGACUACAACUCCCAUGAAGCUUUGCCGACCUGUAGCCUGAUUCUGCAAUUAUCAGUCUAAUGAUUGGACUCUUUUACUGCAUUACCCAUGAGACACAAAGUGUAAUGAUCACUCUAAUAAAAGGGGUCGGAAGGGGGGCUGUUAACUGGAAAUCGGGAAGAAGGCAAGCUACUCACCCUGACUUCCUGCUUGGAGAUCAGGGCCCCCAAUAAUCCUCCACAAAGUGUGGGAUCUGGGCCCCAAUAAUGCAGCACCAAGUGGAGGGAUCAGGAUCCCCCAGUAAUCAUCUUCACACAGUCAGGGAUCUGUGUACCCCAGUAAUCCUGCACACAGUGUACCCCAAUAAUCCAAUACACAGAGGGAAUAUCAGGGGCCCCAGCAAUCCUUCACAAAGUUGGGGUGAUCACCAGAGAUCAGGGUGUCCCAGUAAACUGCACACAGUUGUGUGACCAUGCAGAGAGAUGGAGGUCCCUCAGUAAUCCUGCACACAGUGGGGUCCUCAUGCAGACAAAUCAGAGUGUCCCAGUAAUCCUGCACAGAGUGGGGUCCUCAUGCAGACAAAUCGGGGUGUCCCAGUAAUCCUGCACACAGUGGGGUCCUCAUGCAGACAAAUCGGGGUGUCCCAGUAAUCCUGCACACAGUGGGGUCCUCAUGCAGACAAAUCGGAGUGUCCCAGUAAUCCUGCACACAGUGGGGUCCUCAUGCAGACAAAUCAGGGUCCCUCGAAUUCCUGACCACAGUGGGUUGCUCAUGCAGUUACAUAAGGAUCCCCCACUAAUCCUGCACAAAAUGGGGUACACAUUCACAACGAUCCAAUUAUUCCUGCACAGAUCAGGGGUCCUCAGAAAUACUGCACAGAGUGGGGUGACCAUGCAGGCAGAUCAAGGUACCCCAGUAAUCCUGCACUCAGAUCAGGGUACCCCAGUAAUCCUGCACUCAGAUCAGGGUACCCCAGUAAUCCUGCAGACAGAUCAGGGUACCCCAGUAAUCCUGCACUCAGAUCAGGGUACCCCAGUAAUCCUGCACUCAGAUCAGGGUACCCCAGUAAUCCUGCAGACAGAUCAGGGUACCCCAGUAAUCCUGCAGACAGAUCAGGGUACCCCAGUAAUCCUGCAGACAGAUCAGGGUACCCCAGUAAUCCUGCAGACAGAUCAGGGGUGCAGCAGUAGGUGACAGCUCAGUCCUGGGACAGGAAAUCUGUGAAUUCCACUACAGCUACAGUAACUGCAAACAAAGUAUCCCAAGGUCUGUAAAGUUCCCAGCGGGGGGGAGGGGCAGUGAUGGGUCCUGGGACCCCCUUUACUGCGCAGAGAGUUGGAGCCAAUGUGAGCAGCUCAGAGCAGGAACAGAGUGGGGAGGGGGCAAGAACUAUGAUGUCAGCAGAUCUGCCCCAGAGACAGGAAACUGUGAUCCACA